CCGCGCUUCCGCCCCGACCCGGGUGCUGUGGGGCCCCGGCUUAACCUGGCGCGUUGGAUGGCAGCCCUGCAGAAGGCUUGGAACCGGGUGAUCUUUAAGUCUGUGUUGCCUUCUUGCUUCUAACUGGUGCUGUGGUAGCUGCUGGAAACUCCUGAUUUUGGCCAGGAUCCCAUAGAUACUGUACAGACAGCCCAAAGACUUACUACUCUUUUAGUACACCCUGAAUGGAUGACUCCUUUUACAACUGCAAUUAUAUAACACCUCCAUGCAAUGACACAGAAGAGAAAAAACAGUGCCUCUAGUGCAGCUUUUAGAUGAUCUAAUUCUGAGCUUGCUGGUGGCACCAAUUCUCUUUCCAGAUCAACUGAAUAGGUCAGAAGCUCCGGAAUACUGUACGUGUUUAAAAACACGGGCAUCUUUGCCCUUUUCUUUUGCUGUAUCUGAGUGUGAAAUUUGGACCAAGAAGGCAGCAGACUGAGAAAAUAUCUGAAGCCCUUUGGAAUGUGCUGCUGCUACUGCCAAGAACAGUCAUGCCAGGAAAACACAGGCAGAUCAAGAGCAAACGUGACCAAGUGUGGGGAGAAGAAGCAGGGAGAGAGCUUCGCUUUUGACUAAGGAUGGUCAAAAGUAAAAGUGGGACUAUUUUAGGGAGUUACUGAGUGGAAAUUGGAGAAUCGUGGUGAGAGGAAACUGAAAAGGGGGGUUCCAGGCUAAAUGGAGCUUUCGUGAACAGGCAAAGAGGGAUGACUGAGCUUGCUGAGAGAGAACUCUAAGAAGAAAUCAUGCCAGAAUGAGGCCAAGGGAAACUGCAAUCUAAAAGUACCGUGACAAAGUGAAAUAGCAGAAAAUCUCUUGCAAAUAACCCUAAUACAACCCUGUCUUUAUCCUGAAAUGCUUUCUUGUUCAUCACUAGAAGAGAACAGUGUCUGUAGCUCCAUACCACUGUACAGGCCACAGGGGGAGGUGACCCAUGCUCCCAUCAUUCAUUUUAGAAUACAGAACCGUGUUGUGAAGAGAUGGUCAAAACAGCAACGUUCAGAAGCAUGGCAUGAUUUAAAAGGCAGAACUCUCAAAUAAAGCCUGGUGGCAUAUGCGUUUUAACAAGUUCUUCAUCAAUCUUACCAUCUAAAUCCUUUUGAAAAUCCACUUCUGAUAUUUUUAGUUGGAAACGUUGCUUGUUUUCACCUCAAAUGGCUUGCUGUGACAUUUGGUUGAAGGUCUCAGUGUGACUCCGCAAGCUGCUCUCUUACUAGGUCUGGAAAUGCCACUUUUGUUGUGCAUUCACAACUAUUUCCCCUUCUAGACAAUCUGAGGAGGGAAGAAUUGCUAUCAUAGUGAAUUGUGCUGCAUGGGCAUUUUUGACAGGAUGUGGCAAAGACCACAUCAGGUGUUACAAACCACUAAAAGAACAAUUAUAGUCGUGUUUUGAAAGUUGUGACAGUACAGAGUUUGCCCCAAAGACAGAUGACACCCAUGAUAGGAGCCAGCUCUCCUUAAGGUGUUUGGUUUUCGUUUUUCUGGAGCAUGUUUGAGUUCUGGGAGUUGUGGGCCCCUCAUAGCACUCCGGAGAGCUAUGCACCAGUCUAGGGCCAUAUCCUCCUCUUGGUCUUGUGGCUGCUGCUGAAUGGAAAUGAAGA